UGGGGAAUAUUGGACAAUGGGCGAAAGCCUGAUCCAGCAAUGCCGCGUGGGUGAAGAAGGUCUUCGGAUCGUAAAGCCCUUUCGACGGGGACGAUGAUGACGGUACCCGUAGAAGAAGCCCCGGCUAACUUCGUGCCAGCAGCCGCGGUAAUACGAAGGGGGCUAGCGUUGCUCGGAAUUACUGGGCGUAAAGGGCGCGUAGGCGGUCUGCCAAGUCAGGCGUGAAAUUCCUGGGCUCAACCUGGGGACUGCGCUUGAUACUGGCGGACUUGAGGAUGGUAGAGGCUCGUGGAAUUCCCAGUGUAGAGGUGAAAUUCGUAGAUAUUGGGAAGAACACCGGUGGCGAAGGCGGCGAGCUGGUCCAUUACUGACGCUGAGGCGCGACAGCGUGGGGAGCAAACA
rnacentral:rRNA from 1 species